GGGGCGCAACGCCCUCGA
rnacentral:snRNA from 1 species